rnacentral:lncRNA from 1 species
GGGCAUGCCUGUAAUCCUAGCAGCUUGGGAGGCUGAGGCAGGAGGAUCUCAGGUUUAAAGCCAGCCUCAGCAACUUAGCGAGGCCCUGAGCAAUUUAGCAAGACCUUAUCUUGAAUUAAAAUGUAAAAAAUGGUUUGGGGGAGGACUGGCGAUAUAGCUCAGUUGGUAGAGUGCUUGCCUCGCAUGCACAAGGCCCUGGGUUCAAUGCCCAGUACGCGGGGAAAAAAGUUUGGGGAUAUGGCUCAGUGGUACAGCACCCCUGGAUUCAAUCCUUGCUACCAAAAAAAGAAAAAAGAAAUGAGCAGACUAUCAAUAUAAACUCAAAGCAAGUGGAAGGAAGGUAAUAAUGAGCAGAAAGUGAUUACAUAGAAGACAAAAACACUAGCAUGGACCACAAGACAUAGCUGGGAAUUUGAAAAGACCAAUAAACACAGUGCAAAAGUGAUGUCCUUUUAGAUACAGAUGUCCUUUAAAUAGAGAUACAGCAGAAAUGACAAGAAUAUUAUAAGUUUUAUGCCAAUAAAUUUAUGUUAUUUAAAAAAAUUUGUAGUUGUAGAUGGACAUAAUGCCUUUAUUUUAUGUAUUUAUUUUUAUUUGGUGCUGAGGAUUGAAUCCAGUGCCUCACACAUGCUAGAUAAGUGCUCUACCACUCAGCCCCAGCCCCAGCCCCUUUAGCAUUUUUAGAAAAGCCAAAAAUCAGUACUCACCUAACUGUAUCUGUAAUACUAAUGGGAUUCAUUUAAAUAUCUUGCUGUGGUUUCCAUAACUACACUCUUCCAAUGAAAGGGAGAGCAAGGGUGAGCAAAGUUCCUUUAAAGUGUCAGACAGUAAAGAUUUUAGGCUUUGCAGGUCACCAGAUCUCUGAUUUUUGUUCAUUUGGUUUUGUUUUUUUGGCUUUGCUGAGGAUUGAACCCAGGGCCUCACAUCUGUGAGGCAAGCCCUCUACUACUGAGCUACACCCCAGCCUAAGCCUCUGGAUUUGCUGCUGCAUCCAAUAAAACCUUAUUUGCCAGGAGACAGACAUAUCCCGGGGUCUCAGUUUGCUCUUGGCCCAAAGCUGUGUGUCAAUGUAGACAAACUUCACAUUGUCACAGGACACUGAGUAGAAUCAGAGCCAUUAAGGGCAGCAGAAAGAACUGGGUCAGCCAUGGCCUUGGGGAAGUGGUUCCACCUGUCUUUCAUCAGGCAGCCCUGACCUGGCGCUGGAGCUGGGGAGGAGGGCUAAUCCCCUACACCCUAAGGUGUGCCCUCGUCCUUCUCACUUGACCUCAGCAGGCUGAUCCCUCCAGGCUCUGGUUUCCCUGCUCACUGGCCCCUGGGCUGCCCCAUCUAACUGAAUCCUGUGGUGUGUCCUGGCUUCCAUGUCUCUACUUGACUGCCUAACAGAAACCCUAAACUUGCCCUGCCCAGAACAAAUCCAUGAUUUUUCCCCAAAAGUGUUCUAGUUGUAAUCUUUUCUGUCUCUAUUUUUUAGGUCAAAAACCUCAGAAUCAUCCGUGACCCCUUCCUUUCCUUUCCCACUCCCACCUACCUCACAUCCAGUCCAUCCUCAAAUCCAGUGAUUCCACCUCCACCACUGCUAUCCAGGCCAGAGCCGCCACCUUCUCCUCUUGGGUGCCCCUGCUCUGGCCUUGCCUCCGUCAGUCUGGCCUGACUGAAAUGACAAGAGCAAUCCUUUGCCCGCAGGACAGGCUUAUACCAUCCCUGCACCCAACUCAUGCAGAGUAAAGCCAAGGGAUGGUGGGGGUGCACGAGGCCCACGGGAUCCAGCCCACAGCUCCCCUGGCCUCGUCUACUCAUCGAGCCUUCUUGGUUUCAGCCUGGAAUAUUCUUCCAAAAUCUCUGUGUGAUUCAUCCCUUCACUUUCUUCAGGUCUUGCAAGGGUCAACUGUGGUUUCAAGGAGAACUUCUCAAAUGGUCUAAUGUAAUUGCAGCCCCUCCCUCUCUCACUCCAUCUCCUACCUCCCUGCUCCUUACUGUUUUUUUUUGCCACAGCAGUUAUCACCUAAUAUGUUAUAAUCUUUUUUUUUUUUUUCCCAUGAUGCUGAGGAGGAACCCAGGGCCUGGCUUGCCAGGCCUAGGCCUUCAUAUAGAUGGAAUCAUGCAGUAGGUAUUCUUUUGUGUCCGAUUUCUUUAACUCAACAUAAAGUUUUUGAGGUUCAUUCACUUUAGGCUGAGUGCCGUGGCAUAGGCCUGUAAUUCCAGCUACUCAGGAGGCUGAGGCAGGAGGAUGGCAAGUUCCAGCCAACCUCAGCAAUUUAGUGAGAUCCUGUCUAAAAAAAAAAAAAAAAAAAAAAAGGGCUGGGGAUGAGGUAGCCCAGUGGUGGGAUAUCUCAGUAGUAGAGCAAAUCCUCCUCCUCCGCCACCACCAUCUCUGAGGCAGCGGAUCAUUUCCUCAACCUGCCCACGAGGUUCCUUCGUAUGGACGCACCAGAUUGUUUAUUCAGUCUUCCAUUGAUGGUUAACAGGGCUGAUUUCAGUUUGGGGCAACUGUGAACAAAGCUGCUGUGAACAUUUCCUGUGACAGUCAUCGUGUGAUAUAUUUCUUUUGUUUCACUUGGACAUACCUAGGAAUUUCUGGGUUGUCUGGCAGGAGUUUUACCAGCCAUUUUUCCAGAGCAUUUUCCCACUUUUGGCACCUGUCAACAAUAUAUGGGAAUUCUAGUUGCUUUGUAUCUUUGUCACUGUUAAGUGUUGUCAUUCAUUUUAUUUUAUCUAUUUUGUUGUGUAUAGUGGUAUCUCAUUGUGGUUUUAAAUUUAAUGUCAUGUUAUUUUUGAAAA